CAAGAAACCCUGCAACACUAAGGAUACUGUAUAACUUCAACAUACUUACGUAUUGAGCUGAAUAGUUGCUGUGUCAGGGUCUGGUAAGCCAGACUAGCAGAGGCCCAGGAGAGGCAUCCCGAUCCGCCAUAUUUCUGAAGUCUUAGGCGUGUCACUGUUGGCUUUAGGUGUGGCUUUGUUGAAAACACAUGCCGGCAUAAGUGAUCCGAGAACGUUUUCUUUUUUUCUGAAUGUUUUAGCCGGGGAGCGUUUCCGGAUCGGGUGCUUACAUGUGAUUUGUAAUGAGAUCUCUUUAGUACAGAAAAAAAUAAAUGGAACCUCCACCAAACUCAGCAGUAGUUGUACCUCAUGGCUGGCAGAGGCUAGUGGAAAAGGGACGUGUCACUUACAUUAGUCCUGAUAAUAGAGCUCUCCACUCUCGUGAAGAGGUUCUUCAUUAUUUGACGUCAGCUGGUACCUGUAAAUGUGGCCUUUGAUGUCCUUUUAUGUUAGACGAAAUGUUUAAUUUGAUUCGAGACUUAUUGGACUCUCUAGUGAUACUAUAUAUACCUUUCACUUCUAAUUCAUUGUGUUUCGUGAAGCCUCACCUCACUUUGCAUGAAGUAAAGAGAUAUCCUUAGACUCAAAAAA